UUUAAACCUUAUUUUCAAAUCCCAUAAAAUCUUAAAUCCCUAAAUGUUAUUUCCAAUUCUCAAACCCUAAAAAAACAUCACCCUUAUUUCCAGCCUUCUCCCACCAACAUUCCAGCUUCCCCCCAUUUCUCUUACUCGAUUUCUUCCUCUCCUACUCAACGUGUUCAUCGCCUGCCGGCUACCAUCGAUUAAGAUUAUUCCUAGAAUCUGAGCAUCAGAUUUCCAGACUUCUUCAUCCGGUUAUCUUCAUUCUAUUUUUCCUGUUAUUGGUUUUUAUUUCUUCAUUCCAUUUCCAGAAUUUUAUUUCUCCUAUUAUCAUUCCAUCUUUUUUUUAUGUUCCCAAUUCCCAGAUUUAAAUACAAAUUAAUUGCUUUAUCUUCAUUAAAUUUCAUGAUUAUGAUGCUUUAUUAAACAGAGUUUAGGAUGCUUCGCUUUUUUUAACAAACGAUUAGUAUUUAUUUGUAAUUUGACAUGUUCAGUUUGUCAAUUUUAUCCGAAGUGUUUAGUUUCCUAAAAAAAUUUGGUUAAGAAGUCGUCUAAUUAUGGCUCCGCCCAUGAAUAGCACAAGUUUGUUAUAGGCAUCUUUUGUGUUGGAUUACUAUGUCUCUAUACAUUAAAAAUUCCUUUGAAUGUGGUGUUUGUUUGUUAUGACACUGACAAACAAAUGUUACUAAUACAUGGUGUUUUUAUGAGAUUUUUUUUGGAGUGAGUUCUUUUUAUUUAUUUAUAGUGAUUCAUAUAGUUUGCAUCAAUCAAUCUGAGUUGUAAGUUAUGUCAAUUUUUCUGAAGGGUAACUCUUGGAGAUGGUUUUGGGUUCUUGGUUGUUAUGUGGAUAAGAAAGGUGGUGAUGGAGUUCAUGUAGCUAGAAUAAGGAAGACAGUUACACUGAAUAUUAGCCAAAUGAUCUCGGGCUGAGUCUAUCACGUAUCAAGUCUUGAGAUUGAGCUCAUUUGUUUGAAAUCUUAAUGAGCUUGCUUAGACAGAGCGUUAAA
rnacentral:lncRNA from 1 species